CACUUCGUGGGCUGCAUUUUGUGAGCAUUGUUGGAAGGAUAGUCUAAACAUCAAACGAUCUGACAGUACAAAGGCAGAAGCUUAAGGUCCAAACUGAAAUGUCCACAACCAUAGUACUGACGCUUCUUUUGGCAGGGUGCCUGAGUGCUCACAAAGGCGUUCCGAGAUCUGGGUUUGAUGUGGCGGUAUAUUGUCCCGAUUUCGAAUUGGAGUGUGAGAAUAUGUGCGUGCAUAUUGGACACAAGGAUGGAUUCUGCAACGGAACUGUAUGCAUGUGUGAAGAGCACAUAGUAGUGAACCUAGAACGAAAGCAUCGUACCUGACUUUCGAAGAAAUGAAUUGAUUCAACUUAAGACGAAGCCCCUUUUAGCUUGCACUAAGGCUCCAUAUGCUGUAGACUGACGUUCCAAUAGUGACUUUUUGACGUUAUAGAAAGUAAAAACGUUUACAUCUGGUAAUGGCUUAUAAAGUUUAGAUAAACACCAUGGUUCCGCAGUCUUAUCUCCACUGUAACAAUUUUUGUCGAACCAAAAGCACUGUACGUGUCUUCAAUAGAAAAAGAUCUGUGAUUUUUUCACCUCUAUUAACGAUGAAGUCCUUUGUGACCACCAAGAAAGUUUUAUUCAAAGCAGCGCUUGCAGUGCUACUACGAACAAUGUAAAAGACAGAGAUCAUAGUUUGCGUUGUCUUAAGAGGUCGUGAAAUGAAAGUGAAGCUGGCCGAUUGUAAUAAAGAUUAGACAUGCCAGCUCCGAAAAUUUUUGGCACAAUAUCAAGUCUUUAAUUCAUACCCCCAUUUAGAAAUCGCCAUUUUGUUGGGCUUUAAACGACCAUGCGGCCCAACCUGUCUGUCUAGGCACCACAGAACUUUAGUCCAAUGUUGAGGAUAGAUUGGCAGUUCUUGGCACAAGAUGGCCAACGAUUUACAAAAGCGUCAAUAAUAGCUGUGCCAGCCAAAUAGAACAACGAGGUUGGGCCAGCAUUGACAACGUUCCGUCAAUAAUGAAAAAUAAUGAGUGAGAAAAUGAAAAAAAUUAGUUGACAGCUGGUGUCAGGACUGGUCCUCAAAACCGAAAGGCAAUAUCUAUGAAUAAAUCUUUGAAGCUACGAUUGUAACAGUUAUACAACCAACAAUUUAUAGUGAGUGACUUUAAUACUGAAGACUGUUCAGCAGCUGUGCAUUUUGGCAUGUGAGCUCUUUAAAUUUCUUUUUUACAGCGUUUCUCAAUCUACCUCCGUAUUAACAUUUUUAGUUUCCUUUCUCAAGACUCAGUGUAGAAGAGCAAAAAUGACUGUUGUGAUAAGCAAAUAACUAGUUCAUUGUCUUACUUAUCACAUAGCCUGCGUGCAAUUUUGUGGUGAAUGUGUCUUCAGGAGGUCUUAUAAUCAGUCGGAUAGUCAAACAAAACUAAAAGCAAGCGUAAUUGAAUGGCUCAGUAGGCCAAAGUAGCUGGUGCAUAUCACUCUUCUCACACUUUAUAUCUUUGUGACUUAACUGCUCUACACACAUGAAGUUCUCCUUUUUGUUCAUAUUCAUGUCUUAUAUGAACAUCUUUCCUCAAGACUUUUGAAACUGCAACAACCUUUUUCACUUUUAGUUUGACAUGCAAAUUAAGAUGUUAGGCUUAUCUGUAUUAGUAAUGGCUGAAAUGGUCCACCAGAGAGGCAGUUUAAUUGAUGAACCACUGAAGGCACAAAAGUCAAAGAUGGGUGCUUCACAGUUAAUGCAGUAAAGCAGCCAAAGAAUGGGACACUCGACAAAUGGGCCACUCCUGAAAUUUUCAGCAAUGGGCUACCGAGCACCAAAUCACACAUACUCGACUUCCUGCAUGGAAGGCCAAGGACGUCAUCCCCCUAUCCCUUCAACACACAAAGUUCCGCCAUUAUCACAGGUUAUAAGACUAUGGCCCAUGUUCAAGCGUUUUCUCAAAGUUCGUGCGAUUUUAUGUUUACAAACGGUAAUAUUUUUCUAAAAAACAAAAAAAAACCUUUAGCAGCCGUAGCUACAUUUGUGUGUCUAAUUUGUUUAUGCGUCCUGUGUCAACUUGUUCUCAAAAAAGAGUAAAAAAAAUAAUUCGUUACAUGAACUGAAUAUUCUUCUUAGU